UACGUAGGUCCCAAGCGUUGUCCGGAUUUAUUGGGCGUAAAGCGAGCGCAGGUGGUUUCUUAAGUCUGAUGUAAAAGGCAGUGGCUCAACCAUUGUGUGCAUUGGAAACUGGGAGACUUGAGUGCAGGAGAGGAGAGUGGAAUUCCAUGUGUAGCGGUGAAAUGCGUAGAUAUAUGGAGGAACACCGGAGGCGAAAGCGGCUCUCUGGCUUGUAACUGACACUGAGAGACGAAAGCUAGGGGAGCAAAUGGG
rnacentral:rRNA from 1 species